rnacentral:rRNA from 1 species
GGUUGCGAUCAUACCAGCACUAAUGCACCGGAUCCCAUCAGAACUCCGCAGUUAAGCGUACUUGGGCGAGAGUAGUACUAGGAUGGGUGACCCCCUGGGAAGUCCUCGUGUUGCAACCCC